rnacentral:rRNA from 1 species
AUACGGAGGACGCGAGCGUUAUCCGGAUUCAUUGGGUUUAAAGGGUGCGCAGGCGGCCGUGCAAGUCAGCGGUGAAGGCCCGGGGCUCAACCCCGGAAGUGCCGUUGAUACUGCAUGGCUGGAAUGCGGUCGAGGCGGGCGGAACGUGGCGUGUAGCGGGGAAAUGCGUAGAUAUGCCACAGAACGCCGAUAGCGGAGGCAGCUCACCAGGCCUGCAUGGACGCUCGGGCACGAAAGCGUGGGGAUCGAACAGGAUUAGAUACCCUGGUAGUCCACGCCGUAAACGAUGGGCGCUCGUCGUCGGCGGCAGACAGUCGGCGGCCAAGCGAAAGCGAUAAGCGCCCCACCUGGGGAGUACGGUCGCAAGGCUGAAACUCAAAUGAAUUGACGGGG